GUCGAAAACCUGCCCCUUCCUUUCGUUGCUACGGACUGCAGUGUGUAGUGUGCCAUCAGGGCUCUCAUCUGUGUAACAUGGCAGUUUAAUUUAGCCCCGAUCGGAGAGCCAGCUGCUGCUGUCACAACUAUUAAAGAAGCUAUAUGAUGUUCCUAUGUGCCGUCAUGAGUAUUAUGUCAUUGGAUCACGGGUCCUUGAUCUUGCAUGCAUUAAGGCAAGCUGAGUGAGUGCGGUUGUUUUGGUAUAGCUCCUCCCCUUACUCGCGGAGCCACGUUGCUGCUUUGAGGCUGCUUGAUUGAUUGGUUUUGUUGCUUCAGUUUGUUUUGCCUUUUACUUUGUGCUUGUUUGUGUUUUGAUUUGCUUUAUUUUGUUGUGCUUUUUGUUAUUUUGUUUUGUGUUGGUUACUGUCACUAACAUCAGUUUUCUUUAAUUCAACUGUGUUGUAACAGUCUGUAUCAAUUAUGCUGAUACUGCUAUGCGGUAGUAGUGGUUUUGGUCAGCUUUGGUAAACUUGCUACCUGCAAUCAGUUUGAGUGUGUGGUUCUCUGUGUUUUUGUUACAGUAAUUUUGUCUUUGUUUUGUUUUAUCCACUUUGUUUGUUUGCUUUGAGCUUAUUGUAAUUGAUUGUGUGUUUUCUCCUUGUAGGAGCUGAGUGCGUCCUGAGGCUUGGGGGGGGGGUUCUUUGCUGCAUCUUUGGUUUUACUUAAUUAAGGGUCGUCAUUAUUGCUGUGUUUAUUUGCAGUGAAUUUUGUGGGUCAUACAAGCCUGUAGCCUUUAGUGCUGUCGUACUAGCCUGCCCUUCAUACAGGAAGCCUCAGUCCUCCUAUGAUUAUUGUUAACUUCCUUUUGUGACUGUUUUAUUUGACCAAUGCCUGACUGUGUUGGUUGCUUCUUUUAAAAUAAUUAUUGGCCAGUCUUUUUAACUUCAAAAUAAAAUGUAUUUUUGUAUGGAAACCCAUGCCUCUUGCCUGUUCUAAGUGGCAGUGUUACGCCACGGCCAGCAGAGGGCACUGCGGU